UCUCUUCACACCUGCCUUUGUUUCUUCUUCCAUGUACUUCUCUCAAUCUUUCUAGUUGUUUCUUUGGUUUAUCUAGCACACCAAUCUAUAUCAUUAACAAUUGAUUUUAAUGAGUUUGGCUUGUUCUUCUAUAUUCCCUCUACAUCUCUCUUAUGUUAUCUUUGCAAUGAAUUCUAUUAUCUCCUUUAUAUUUUCCAGCCUAAUCCCAUUUCUGCAACAAGGUAGUUUUUGUUUUGGCAAGGGAGUUUAUAAACACAACUCCUAUUUUCCUCCUUAGAUCUUCCUAAGACUUGUAUAUUUGGUCCAUGAACAAAUCUUUAGUUUCUUAUUCGUGGAGAGAAUAAUUACUAUGGGAAGGAACACUGAAGAACAGAUUGUUCCGCAUGCAGGAUCAAAGGCUAUGAAGGAAAGUAAUCGUAACAAGUCCCUCUUUGCUUCUAUACACAAACCACCUAUAGAUAAUGGCAGAUCAAUCAGUAUGGUUGUUAAGGUAAAAUUCAUAUUCUUUUCUCCUGUUACAAAAGAUUUAAAAGUACCUAAUAUGCUAUAUCAACAGUCCGCGAUCUUGACCUUAGAUGGUCAGGCCCAAUCACACCAACAGAAAUGCAAUAUGUUGAACAGUAUGUCCUAGCAAAAUAUCCACAAAAUGCUGGGUUCGUUGGAGGAGAAAAGAUAGACCUCUCCAGUCUUUGCAUCAAUGGAGAGCCCGUAGAGCCCGCGCUUGAUGAUAGGCGAAAGUCCCCAAGGGGUAGUAUCAGAGACCCUUCCAUACCCUCCUUUGGAAGCAAUCAUCCUGACUUGGAUAGGACCCAGUAGGAGCAUUCAAGGUUGCUUGACAUUCUCACCAAGAAAUCUACCUUUCCUGGAAGUUUUAUCUCAAUCCCUGAAAUCCGAGCUGGAAACAAGGUUUUAAAGCACUGUGGAUUGACUGAUGAUGAGUACCUUGUUCUCUUCACUCCAAGCUACCAGGAUGCCAUGAAAUUAGUUGGGGAAAGCUACCCUUUCUUCAAGGGAAACUUCUACCUGACCAUUAUUCGUGAAGAAGAAAACUGCAUCAGAGAGUAUGCUACUUUCAAGGAAUCCAAAUUGAUAGUAGCACCAGAGGAUUGGCUGGAUUUGAGGAUCAAGGGAUCAAUGCUUAGCCAAUACUUUAGGAGGAAGUGUAAGCACAGCCCAAAGGGGUUAUUCUCUUAUCCGGUCAAAGUAAAGGGACUCGUUAUUCAAUGCAUUGGGUUUCAGAAGCUCAUAGGAACUUCUGGCAUGUUCUGCUUGAUGCAACUGCACUGGUUGUUGGGGAGGAUGUGUUGAAUCUUGCACUUCAUCAGCCAGACUUUGUGUUGUGUAGUGUUGAUAAUACACAUGCAAGUCCUUCAAGGAUCACUUGCCUCUUGGUCAGGAAGAAAACCUUUGACAGUACAACAGCUCCAUCUCAGUCCAAUGAGUGAGGAAAAAAAAGUACUUCACUACUAUCAGGGCGUCAGAUCCGACCAAUGAAUUAAUGGUUUUUGAUUGACAAUGUGUUGUAGAAUAUGUUCAAAUGAUCUAGCAAUAAGAAUACAUUUUAGCUACUUGGACAUUAAAAUUUCCUCGGGUACAAUCUGUAGAUAAAUAACAUUAAUAUAAGAGUGUAUUACAUAUAGAUAAUGAUUAAGGAUCAUUACUGAUGUUGAUCACUCAAAAAGGUAAUCCUGGACUCCCAAUCCCAAUGGGUGCUUUCCUUUAGAUAGGAUAUUAUUUUCAGAUAACAAGUUCAGACAGUUUCUAGCAAUUGAGGUAUUAUGAUUAUCCAUCUUCUACUUAGGAAAACUUUCAUAUGAGCUUGAACAAAUGCAUGAUUUUUGUCAUAGAAAGUCCCACUACAAGAAAAAAAAAUCCAUUUAUACUCUUGAAGUCCCUAGUAUUACUUAUAAACCACACAGUUAAUUGCGAUUCUCCUUAUGCUAGAUUUAUGAUCUGAUAAUGAGGCUGGGAGAGGAAAUGCUAGAUUUGUUUUAUGUGACAGAAAGAUAAUAUGAACCCUCUACAUGAAAAACAACAUCAAUUGUACUCUUUUUUUUUUAAUAGAAAGAAGAGAAGCAUACAAACUAUUCCUAUGGUACACAGGAUGUGUAGUAAAGGAAACAGAACAUUAAGCAAAAAGAACACAAAUCUAAAAAUUCCGAAAAUGAGGAGAUAAAAAGACCACUCAUUGCAGUCAUCCAAUCAAGCAGAGUAAGCAAGAAAAAACUGUUUCAGUUCAAUGAUGGAAUGUUCCUCCCCCUUGACAGUUCUAAGAUUCCAUUCUUGCCAAAUAGUACACAUGAUGCAUUGUGGAAUUUCUCCCCAAAUUAUAUGCAUAAGAGCAGUGAAGGAGCGAGUGAUCCGCCGAUUCCCAACUGUUUUUGCACAUCCUCCUUAAAUUAUCCAAAGUGAGAAUCUUUCCCCAAGCGGCUGUCCAAGUAAAAAAAGCCACUCUAGAAGGAACUUUCACCCUCCAAAUACUUUUCCAAGUGAAGGCAUGACUUCUUCCGGUCGUUGGGGCCCUAUAAUAGGUCCCUAAUACUACUUAUCAACAACAUAGUUAAUUGGAGCUUGUCUGUGGACUACAUUUAAGGUCUAGUUUUGUAAAUGGGGGAGAAAUUUAGUUUACUCCUGCCAUGUAACCUGACAGAUAGAGUCAAACCUACUACUAGGAACCAUUUUACUCUCAAAAGUCCCUAAUACUAAUUAUUUUAGGAGUGGAUUCAUAUUAAUUCCUAUAGUUUAAAGUUUUCAAAAUAACCCUGAAGUUUAACAUUGUUACAAAUUAAGCCAUAUAGUUCUAUUAGUUUCAACCAAACUCAACUUUUAAACUGUAUCAAUUUAAACCCUAAAUCAAACUUGAAAAAUCAAUAUGCAAAUCAAAUCCAAAAAAGUUAAAGAGUUUAAAUUGAUAUGAUUUUAAAAGUUCAGUGUUUAAUUAGAAACUAGCAAAACUUUAAGAUUUAACUUGCAACAAUAUGAGACUUUGAGGUUUAAUUUAAAUCUUUUGAAACUACCCAUAGAAAAUAGUCAUUAAAGUAUAGUUUACCCGAACAUAUGGCCAUGCUUGUUUUUAUUGUUGUAUCAAGUAAGGAAACAAAAUGAUGUUUUCUAAUAUGCUUUCCAUGUAUUAAAGAGAAGUACACGAGCAACAUAUUGAAGGAGAUUAGCUUAUACCACUUUACUAGCAUAUUAGUUUCAAUCCUACAUUGAAUAUUUCCCAUUACUUGUAAUCCUACGUAGGUAUUGGGUUAAUGGAAAAAAAGGGACAAUGAAAUGUACGAAACACUCAUAGAAAGCACAUGUACAAAGGCACUCUUUUUUUU